AUGUUUAAACUACUGACUGGCAUCAUAGCUGACAGAAUUCAAGACUAUCUUGAAGAAAAAAACAUCUUGCCAGAUGAACAGAAAGGCAACAAAUGGAAAAGCAGGGGCACAAAAGACCAGUUAUUGAUUGACAAAAUGAUUCUGGAGAACUGUAAGAGCCGAAAAGCUAAUCUUCACAUGACGUGGAUUGACUACAAAAAGGCCUUUGACUCACUCCCACACAGCUGGAUCAUCAAGUGCCUGGACGCCAUCGGGAUUAGUAAAAACGUUGGCACCUUCAUUGAAAACAUGAUGGAGCACUGGAAAACUGAACUGUUUGUUGGAAAUGAAAGCUAUGGACUUGUCAACAUCAGGAGAGGAAUUUUCCAGGGAGAUUCAUUGUCCCCUCUGCUUUUCAUUAUUGCCAUGAUCCCUCUGUCAACAAUCUUACAAAAAACAAAUCUCGACUAUCAAACAUCAAAGAAUUCUCACAAAAUUUUGCAUCUGAUGUACAUGGAUGACCUGAAGCUGUAUGGGAAAACAGAAACUGAAAUCCAGUCUCUGACUAACACUGUCCGGAUUUUUAGCACUGAUAUCAGCAUGGAGUUUGGUUUGGACAAAUGUUCAACAGUGGCAUUGAAGAAGGGAAAAAUCAUUGAAAGUGAGGGCAUAAAUAUGCCUAAUGGCCAAACAAUAAAGUGUCACCAGCCAGAGGCCUAUAAAUAUCUGGGCAUAUUACAGCUGGACAACAUCAAGCAUGAACAUGUGAAGACUGUGGUCAGUAAAAAAUACACACAAAGGGUCAGAAAAAUUCUCAAAAGCAAGCUCAAUGGAGGCAACACCACCAAGGCCAUAAACACCUGGGCCAUACCUGUCAUAAGAUAUACUGCUGGCAUCAUAAACUGGACACAGAUGGAACUAGACAAUUUGGACAGAAAAACAAGAAAACUCACAGUGAUGUUGACCGGCUAUAUCUGCCUAGAAGAUCAGGGGGCAGAGGACUCUUACAAGUCAAACAAGCAGUCAAAGAAGAAGAACAUGCCCUGGCAGAAUAUGUAA
rnacentral:lncRNA from 1 species